ACUGUUCACACGUUUUCCAUAUGAACUCAGUACACACUCUCAUCAUCUGAAAGUAUGUAAAAAUCAAUAUAUUCAUUUGAAACAGUAAAAGAUCAUUCCAAGAAGGUUAACUUUGAUUUCCACAGUGAUAACGAAACAUUAAGAGCCAAUGCUUUAAAGACACAUUCUAUGCAAAAGAAGAAUUACAAAAAAUGGUUAUUUUUUUACUCUUUUCAAAAGUACUUGUUUUGAAUAACCGUAACAAAAAAAUACGUUUCAAUUCAGCAAAAUGACAGUCUGUAACAUGUUUAGGUUCCACCUCAAUAUUGUUUGAAAUGACUCUUUAAAAAUGGACAAGUACCCUUGAGAGUAACUAGUUUGGAAAAACACACGUGUUUGAGUUGAGUAGCCAGUUGAAUGAUAUCAUCGUUUGGUUUACCAAGACAUUGAACAAAGCUACAAGUAGAAGAAAAUUUUUCCUUUUCGAACAAGUCUUUAAGAAACCUUGAGACAAAGGCACCCACGAAACACAAGAAAAGAACCCUUGAAAAGCUUUUUGUUUACCUAUUGAAGCAUAACCAUACUUGAAGGAUUGGAGUACAGUCUUAUCCAUAGUCAAGAACUGUGUUCUAGUCGUCAACGACAAGGGCUUGUUAAAGUCUGUACGAAAAAGUGCAGCAACUACAGCUUUGGAUAUUGGUUUGGUUUUACUAGAUUGUCUUCAAGUGAUACCUAUAAAAGUAUGUUUCACUCUCCAAACACUGCCCUUACAUUGGGACAAUAUUCCCCUACUAUUCCCUCAAAUUAUCCAUACAAUAAGCGUGUUGUACCCCUACAUUUGUGAGACUUUUAACAAGUCUCCACGAAUUCACCUUUACAUAUUCGUUAACUCCUUGAUAUCUCUUUUUCUAAACUCAAAUAUCAAUUCAUGAUGUUGGUUGGCUAUUCUCAAGUACCAGAUCCAAGAAAUCACUUGCAACGAAAAAGAGUGAAUUCGCUUUAUGAAGCCUUUUCUUCUUUGCAACUAUUUCAUGAAAAAGCCUUUACGAUCAAAUACAAUAGAAGCUUCAAUAACGUCUUUAAAUACCAACUCUCUGCAAAUUUGUCAAUCUUUGUUGGUUGCUUUUUGGAUGAGACAACAAGACUUGGCAUUGGUUUCUCAUUAGAUUGCUAUUUCUGUAGAAUUCCCUACCUUGUUGGUUUUUACCCAUCAUCAAGUUGGACAUAGUCUUUUCUCAUGUUUAUCCAAAACCUUGAUGACAUUGCUUGCCCAUUCUCUCCUAUAGUUUGAGAGAGUGUUGUCAUCCCUAUCAGAGACUCGUUACCAAUUGGUUGUGUCGAGUCUGUUGAAAGCAAUACAGCUGGUUGAACAUAGUGUUGCAGCUUUUUUAUCCUUUUUUUUGGGGACUGACUGUUUCCUUGUAAAACCAAUCAAUCUUUCUGUCCCCUUUUUUGGGGAAUAGAUGAAAUCCUUUUUUGGUUUUCUUUUCUGGUUCCCAAAGUAAUAUCAACACUCCACAUAAAUGGAUAUACACCUCAAGUUGUUUUGUAAAGAUAUUUUGUGAUUCACUCAGUUUCUUGAAAACACAGAGACCAGCAUUCAAGACGUUGCAAAAAGAUGCCGCGUAAAGCCAAAAACAGCUUGUACACUUAUUACCGAUAACAAUGGAGAGAUUAUCCUCAAAGGUCUAGCAGUAAUCAAGGAGUUUUAUUUAUUGUAUAAUACCUAACCUAAUGUUUUAGCUAUUGUCCCAGCUUUUCAAGAAGAGACGCAAUCCAGGUUGGACAUUGUACAAGAAACAUUGAUGGAUCACCAAGAAACCGACUCUUUCAAAUGACAAGACUUCUCCUCAACGACUCUUUCUCGAAGCCCAUCUGUUUAUUCUGUAUCGUCACAUUUAUUUAUUUCGACCAUUUGACUCUUCACACUUUUAUGAAUGCGUCUCGACGUGCUUUUGAAUAAUCUGUCCAAGAACCUCUUGACUAGUUUUGGAGCGACUCUGUUGCAUCUUGU